UAUGAACUUCCCCACCUGAGAAGAAUGCCAAUCAUGAAAUAGAUGUUCUUGGAUCCUCCCAUUACCUUUUUCUUAAAUCCGUAGUGAAAUAAUAACUAAGGCCUUCAUCAGAUGCA